UAGUAAGCCAAGGGGUGCCGCAAGGCUGAGAUUUGUUAGUUACUUCUGUAUCGAUGGAGUAGACAACAAGAACCCUUACACCUGAUCCGGAUAAUACCGGCGUAGGAAUGGUAAGAGAGUCAUCC
rnacentral:ncRNA from 2 species